rnacentral:rRNA from 1 species
GACGAACGCUAGCGGCGUGCUUAACACAUGCAAGUCGAACGGAGAAUUUAUUUCGGUAAAUUCUUAGUGACGAACGGGUGAGUAACGCGUGGGCAACCUGCCCUUCAGAUGGGGACAACAUCCCGAAAGGGGUGCUAAUACCGAAUACGAUCACGCUGCCGCAUGGCGGUGUGAUGAAAGAUGGCCUCUAUUUAUAAGCUAUCGCUGAAGGAUGGGCCUGGGUCUGAUUAGCUAGUUGGUGGGGUAACGGCCUACCAAGGCGAUGAUCAGUAGCCGGUCUGAGAGGAUGAACGGCCACAUUGGGACUGAGACACGGCCCAAACUCCUACGGGAGGCAGCAGUGGGGAAUAUUCCGCAAUGGACGAAAGUCUGACGGAGCAACGCCGCGUGAGUGAUGAAGGUUUUCGGACUGUAAAACUCUGUUGUUUAGGACGAAAGUGCCUGUUGCAAAUAGUUGCAGGUAUUGACGGUACUGAACGAGGAAGCCACGGCUAACUACGUGCCAGCCGCCGCAGUAA